rnacentral:rRNA from 1 species
UACGUAGGUGGCAAGCGUUGUCCGGAUUUAUUGGGCGUAAAGCGCGUGUAGGCGGCUCGGCAAGUCAGGUGUGAAAGCCCUGGGCUCAACCUAGGAAGUGCAUUCGAAACUGCAGAGCUUGAGUUCUGGAGAGGAAGGCGGAAUUCUCGGUGUAGAGGUGAAAUUCGUAGAUAUCGAGAGGAACACCUGUGGCGAAGGCGGCCUUCUGGACAGUGACUGACGCUGAGACGCGAAAGCGUGGGGAGCAAACAGG